rnacentral:lncRNA from 1 species
GUACAGUGACCACUCAGCAGCUCUGGACUGGCUCCCGUGUGGCCCUGCCAACAGGAUGGGGAGGGCCUGGCAUGUGUGAGUAGCCAUGCCCACCCACGUAUUUGCCUACUAUGCCUGCCAACUGGGAUGAAAAAGCUUUGGAUCUGGCUAAGUUUCUGUGAACCAGAUCAUAAACCUACAAACUCCUCCAGUGGCUGCAGACAGCCGUUUGUGACCACAAGGAAAGGUAGUGGAAGCCCAGAUGGACACAGAGAGAAAGAACACAGACUUGCUGGUCUGGGACAAGCAUUGUUGUUCAAGCCAGUUCGCGUUUGAGUUUCUGUUACUUCCAGCCCCAAAAGCACCCUAGAUAGGAGAGUCUACCUAAUACAGCAAGACCAUGGCCCUUUCCAGAAAGGGUGGAGGCUGCUAGCUCAGGAGGUCGGUCUAUAGGCAAUUAAAUCUCUGUGGGUGUAACACAGACUGUGUUCUUACUGCUAUUUGUGGAAAACAAUUUUCUUAAAAUAGAUAGAACAGACCUUGACACCCUGAAGUCAAGCACUGACAGCCUCUGUUUUGAAAACAAAGCACCGUCAAGCUCUAGAAAAUGCAUGCAGGGCUCCAGAGCCCGUCCAGAUGAGCAGAAAUGGCAGAGGGGGACAGAGGGG